AAGACAAGUCCCCAAAAAGCCUACACUGCUUCAAGUCAGCUAAUGGCUUUAUAUCUUAAACCAAAUCAAACGACGGAUGCUUAACAUCAUUAACCCUAUAAAAUAAUCAAUCCUUGUUUGCUAAUUGUCGAGAGAGAUGAAAAUUUCUGGAAAAAAAUAACUAGCUCACCUAGGCUCUUUCAAAGAAAUAGCUAACUAAGCAUCUCAUGGCAAAGGUUGUAGAGGAUCAUGUAAAGCAACGAAUCACAUUUCCUUGUUUUUAAUUCAACACAAGAUGAAGUACUUAAUUUCAGCACCACACCUGAAUAAUAUCACAAAGAGAAUAUGAAAACUUUCUGAAUUCCUUCUUCGCAUUUGCACUGUUCACUGUAAUAAAUGUAAACGUAAUUACAGAAUAAAAUUAUACAGAAAUUAGAGAUGUCAUGUACUCGGCAAUGGAGGUCUUGUGGAAGACACAACCCUUCCCGGCACGGGUGCCAUAAAGAAUCUUCUAUUCUACCAUCUACAGAUCCUAUAGUACAUUUCAUCCUUCUGAUGCAUCUACAUUCUGCAGCAUUCCCUCGGAAAGUGAAUCAUGAUACAUGGAUCUGCUAGCGCUUUCAGAGUAACCUCGACUCUUCAAUUUAACACCAACAGCCUGCAAACAUCAUGAAACUUAGCAAGAUACCAGUGGCCAAACAGAUACUUGAUAUUUUCAGCAUGUACUCAAACAGAGAUGGAAACUAAAUAACAGUCAGAUAAACCAACAAACGAAAAAAUAUAGAAUGCAACAGAUUAUAACUAGCUCAUUUGGGUGAACUAAGUUGAGCUACUAUUGAAUGUUACAAGCAACCAGCCCAAAAAAGAAUGAACAAUACACUUUUCAUUCACAAUUAAGUAUAAAACAUUCUGUUUGGUCAAUAUAAAAAGGAAUUUUUUGGCAAUGAAUACAAGUGAUAAUAGGGCAUUGUAGAGCUGGAUGCAAGUCACAAGAGUCAUUGUGGAUAAAUUUGUAGGAGAAAUUUUGAAAACCCCAAGCCGUAAAACAAUUCAAGGGGCCAACCAUUCUCGAAAUUUUCAUAUAUGCAUUGAGUAGAGACCUCUAUAUGACCAUAGUGAUGGAAAGAGGAAAAGAACAAUCAAUACUGACCAACAAGCAUCGACCACAGUACAACUCAUGCAUACAGAAGUAAGCGGAUCCAUCAUUGUUUUUUGAUGAAAAAGUGGUCUGAUCCAAAUAAAAUUAAAGUGCAUUUAAAUUUCAGAAAAGAAUAUAGAAAAUUUCACUUUAGACAAAGCAUUUGCACAAUUUUGGUUAAGCAGCAUAGUAGUUCUUGAUCAUCUUAUGAACUUAAAUAUUAAUUGUAUUAAACUGGUAAUUGCCAGACAGAGAAACAUAUUUUAUUGCCCAAAAAGAAAAACAUAUUUUAUAGACAGAACCAUAGUCUUUAACUAAGUCCUUUCACCCGUAAAAAUGCUCUUCCAAUUUUCAAGAUCCUAUUUCCCCUUAUAAUGUUUUCCCGGAAUACAAUCACAUUUCGGUUUAAGCCCCCAAGGCCUAGCUCAAGUGGCAAAGCGUGGUGGAAUUGUCUCUUAGGUCGCAGGUUCAAGCCCCCAUACCAUGCAAGGCAAAGCAUGGUAUUUAAGUGGAAAAGGGUAGAGGGGCAAGCCCAUCAUCCAACGAGUUUAGAAGGCUACAGUUGGUCCAAAGGAUCGGACCAAGACAUAUUUCUCGGUCAUCAAAAAAAAUCACAUUUCAGUUUAACUUUUAAUCAACCCAAUCAGCUCGAUUGUCUGCUACAAACACCCAGGUAGAUUUAAAAUAUGCUCACAGUUCCUGACAUAAUGAUAUAUAUGUAGGAGUAUUUUCCAAACUCCUCUAUCAUAAAAAGAUUUGAAAGGAGCCUGACAAACUUCAAAAUUUAAUGUAAGCAUUGAUGAGUAUCCUCUUCCAUCCAUACAUACAGGAAGGAGAGAAAUAAGCAAUGCUAGAAUCAUACCAUUUCAUAUUAACACUGCUGACAAACAGCUUCAACUCAAAAAUGAAAUGCAGUGGAGUAAGUAGAUUGCUAACUUUACGGCAUUUACUUAAGCUCGUUAAAAUAAAGGAAUUGUGGCCAUAAAUCACAAGUUGACAACAGGGCAAUUGGGAUCUGGAUGCAAGUUAUAGUGUCAUAAUUGAUGGUUUGUAGGAGUAAUUUCGAAAACCCCAACGGCAUAAACAAAUUCGAGGGGCCAACCAUUCUCCAAACGUUGAUAUAAGCAUUAAUUAGAGACCUCUCUAUACCCAUAGAAACGGAGAAGAGGAAUAGAACAAUCAAUGCUAACACAAGCCAUGUUAUGCAUACAUGACGAGCAAAAUCACAGUAAGGAUAUACUAGGUUACCAGUUCUGUCGGAAACAUGAUGGCGCAAUAUCCUUCGAUCCCGUGAGCUUCGUUGUAAACCAAACACAUUAUACAGAGACUCAAAGCUCCUCUAUAUCCCGCGCUAAACCACUAAGUUGGAUUUAGUAUUAAAGGAUUCAUCAUUUAGUAUUUAGACACCGAUGAAUCCUCUAAAUAUUGAAUCCACAUAGAAAAAGAUCUUUAAAUGUAGGUUCAAUUAAGAAAGAGAUGAAGGAGUUUUCGCUCCUUACUCGUAACGGCUGCCAUUGUCGAAAAGGUAAGGAUGCUCCGCCAGAGCUGUAAUACAGCUUAUUGAUGUACAUACAGCUGACUAGGGUUUUAGGGGCAGAGCCGCCACUGAUUAGGGCUUUGCACAUGCAGUGUAGUAGUGAUGCUUCUAUUUAUAGGAGUAGAAAAGGAGGAGGAGCUCCUAUUUUUACCAAAC
rnacentral:lncRNA from 1 species